CACGUAGGGGGCAAGCGUUGUCCGGAUUUAUUGGGCGUAAAGAGCUCGUAGGCGGCUCGGUAAGUCGGGUGUGAAACCUCCAGGCUCAACCUGGAGACGCCACCCGAUACUGCUGUGGCUAGAGGCCGGUAGGGGAGCGUGGAAUUCCUGGUGUAGCGGUGAAAUGCGCAGAUAUCAGGAGGAACACCAGCGGCGAAGGCGGCGCUCUGGGCCGGAACUGACGCUGAGGAGCGAAAGCGUGGGGAGCAAACGGG
rnacentral:rRNA from 1 species